rnacentral:lncRNA from 1 species
UCGGGAACUCUUCUGAAAUAUCAAAUUCAGGUGUCCAUUGUUUGAGUAUCAUAGGCCUAUUGGCUAUUGAGUAAGGACCUGCACACAGCAUCUCUUUGGCAUCAGCAACUGCUUUGAAUUUCACAAUGUAAUAACCUUCGUCAUGAUAGAACAAGUCUGGUUCAGGGACAUGGGACCAAUGGUGAUUGAUGAAUCUCCUCAUUGCAUUGAAGCCAGGACCGUCUCCUAG